rnacentral:rRNA from 1 species
GAUGAACGCUGGCGGCGUGCUUAACACAUGCAAGUCGAACGAAGCACCUUGAUUCGAUUCUUCGGAUGAAGAUCUUGGUGACUGAGUGGCGGACGGGUGAGUAACGCGUGGGUAACCUGCCCCAUACAGGGGGAUAACAGUUAGAAAUGACUGCUAAUACCGCAUAAGACCACAGCACCGCAUGGUGCAGGGGUAAAAACUCCGGUGGUAUGAGAUGGACCCGCGUCUGAUUAGGUAGUUGGUGGGGUAACGGCCUACCAAGCCGACGAUCAGUAGCCGACCUGAGAGGGUGACCGGCCACAUUGGGACUGAGACACGGCCCAAACUCCUACGGGAGGCAGCAGUGGGGAAUAUUGCACAAUGGGGGAAACCCUGAUGCAGCGACGCCGCGUGAGCGAUGAAGUAUUUCGGUAUGUAAAGCUCUAUCAGCAGGGAAGAAAAUGACGGUACCUGACUAAGAAGCACCGGCUAAAUACGUG